rnacentral:lncRNA from 1 species
AAACAUAUACACAGAAGGAUCUCCCCCAUCAGGAUCCCAUUCCUUUAAUCCCAGCACUAGAGAGGAAUAUAAGGCAGGAGGAGACAGGAGCUCAGUCUGAGGAGCAGUGCAGUCUGAAGAUGCAGUCUGAGGACAUGAUCUCCCUUUCAGUUUGAGCAUUGGCAGAGCUAGUAAAUGUUUGGAGGAUGAUGCCAUCUGUGAGAAAAAGAUAAAGGACUCCCGGCUUCUGCCUUCCUUGGUUACCACUCUCUCUGGACCCUGACUGCUUACUCAGAGGGAAGGUGGGUGAUUUGGCCAUCCCAUUCCGGAACUGCUGCCAAUCCUUGGUGCAAGCACAACAUUGCCAAGAACUCCCAAGACUAUUGCUGUCCUCAGUCUUGGUCAGAAAAGCUUCUGUUUGUAGUGAAUGGCAGUUAAUACAGAGACUCACCGUUGGUCAAGAUGUCAAGAAUAAGUGACCAUGCAAGUUCUACCUUCAAUGGGACAUCUGUGUCACCCUUUCCAAGGCUCAGGGAAUACUGAAAAUGAGAGGAUGGAGAGAAUAUAAGGAUGAUGAGGAAGACCCUGAAAUAGUUGUGUGAGCAUAGCAUGUCAUUAUACUUAUGAAUGCAUAUCACCUGUGGUUGCCUACCGAGAUACUCUAUAGGACUGGGCCUGUCAAUCAAUAUUCAGUCACUAAAGUGGAAGGGCUCAUGGGGCCUGCUGUCUCCCUGAGGAGCUUAUUGGCUGCUGAUGGCUGUUGGGGAGCAGAGUCAUUGUAUAUUUACUGGGUCUUAUGUAUCCCAUGCUAGCCUUGAACUCAAAAAUCCAAGGAUGUACUUAAACUUCUGAAUCUUCCAUUUCUACCCACCCAGUGCUGGGAUUACAGUGAUGUCCAGGUCCCUUGCUCCCUUGGCAGCUACAUGGAGUCUUCUUUGAGACCCUCUGUUGUCCCGCGCGAUCGUCUCGCCAGCAAGAACGACACAGGACACUCGGAUCCUUCUGCAGUAAAGCUUUAAUGCAUCUUGAGAGAGAGAGAGAGAGCAUAAGCUUACAGAGCGGAGACCCUGAACUCCCAAGAACCCAUCCCUUAUAAAGGCUGGCAACUGCCACCUCGGACGUGUUACCCCCUGACUCGCUGCAGCUCAUCGGACCAUAUGACGCCACGGAAGAGGCAGAGACCAAGGGAUGGAAAGUUACCCAGCGCCUGCGCACUAACUUGUUUACAUUCGGUGCCUGCCGGAUGCAGGCGCCAUCUUGUAAUGGAGAAUGCAGGGACGGCUCCCUACACUCUGUGUUCCUCUUCCCCGAAUUUCCCUAGUCUUGUAGCCCCACCUAUACUUCCUGCCUGUCUAGAUCCUGUCUGUCCAUUGGCCAAAACAGCUUUAUUCAUCAACCAAUAAGAGAAACGUAUGUUCACAGCAUAUAGAAGGACAUCAUCAUCCCCCAUCAUCUCUUUAGUUACAUUUCAGAUGAUCACUCAUCUUCUGUCUGCCUACAGAUUGAUCUGCAUAUGCCUCCUGUGUCUCCCAGAUGCUAUUGCUGUCAUUCUAGGGCAAGUAGCAGUAUAGUAUAGCCUUGGAGGGGGAGGGCUCUGGUAACAGAUGGCUUAGACCUGAGUCCCUGUUCUUUCUAGGGAAGUUCCUUAAACUUCCCAUGUCUGUUUCCUUACCUACAAAAUAUGGUGAUGAUGCUAAUAAUCUCUACCUCACAGGUUGGUAUGAGGUGGUUGCCCCUGACAUAUAAUAAAUAAUAAGGCCCUGGGAAGCAAUGUCCCAGAUUAAAUGUCACCAUCUGUACCUUCACUUUGCUUCUGGAAGUCACUCUCACAGUCACUCUUUGGUGACCUGGUUCAAAGGAACUCAUUUACCCUGAACCUUAUCACCUUAGUUAGCUGCUGCCUUAGCUCUCUAGCUCCUCUCUGUUCAUUGAAUUGUGACGAGUUUUAGUUCCUUGGCUGAGCUGUCUCUUUUCCUUUCUGACUGGCAACCCCAGCUGGAGUACCUUUCUUCUCUCUUGUGCUUGUGUCAUUUAAGCUUCUCUUGACAACACUUUCAACCCUUUUGCCUAUUUAUGAUGCAGUGUCAAAUUCUGGAUAAAUCUAGUAGAAUUGUCUUUGCUUUCGUUCUUGUGUCACCGAAACUAGAAGGGAGUCCAGAAUAUGGCAGAUUGAUGUCAUCAGAAACAUUGGGGUUCUUUAAUCCUUAUAGAUCCUAAAGCCCACAGGUGGCCCUCCUUAUGUGCCUUUAGUAGCUUCCUUUCCUACUUCCUACACCAAAUUGUCCCAACUUUCCUCAUCUUUCUCAUACAUCCUACCCUGGAUGUUUCCUUUACCAAACCUGGAUGGUGUGAACAAUAUGUAUUCCUACCAUUGAUUUUCCAGAAUACUUUCCUCUGUACCCUUAUUUCUUUCAAUUUUUUCCCCUCCCACAGUGCAAAAUUAGUUCCUUGGCUGGGGUAGUAGUUCCCGUCUGUUCACAUGGCUGAUGAUAGUCUAAUUCCGUGAUGACCUAGUCCUCAUCCAGUGGCUGAUGGAAGCAGAGACAGACAUCCACAGAAAUACACUGAGCUGAAAUCUGGAACCUAGUUGAAGAGAGGAAGGAAUGAAGAACGAAGGGGUCUAUACCAGGUUGGAGAAACCCACAGAAACAGUUGGCCCGAAAAAGGGAAAGCAUAUCGACCCCAGACGCUCUUUGGGAGGCCAGUACGGGACUAAUCCAGCCCCCUCAUCAUGGAUGCCAAUGGGGAGGCCCCUGCACUCCUGGGAGCUUCCGGAGGUGGACUGGCGUUUUGCCCUGGUGUGUGUGUGGGACUUCGAGAGCCCAUCCCACUUGAAGGGAUGCGCUCUGUCACUGAACACAUGGGGAGGGACCUAGGCCCAGCACAGGAAGAUUUGGUGGACUUGGUGGAGCCCCUGUUGGGGGCCCUACCCUGCCUGGGGAGUGGUGGGUGGAUGGGGUUGGGGGUAGGUUGGAGGUAGGGGAGAAGGAAUGGGGGUGAGGAGAGGGAGAGGGAGAGGGGAAUUACAUGUGAAACAAGC